rnacentral:rRNA from 1 species
UUGGAGGGCAAGUCUGGUGCCAGCAGCCGCGGUAAUUCCAGCUCCAAUAGCGUAUAUUAAAGUUGUUGCAGUUAAAAAGCUCGUAGUUGAAUUUCGGGAUCGACACAUCGGUCGUGCCUUAAGGGGUAUGAACUGGUGUAGUCAGUUUCUCACCUUCUGGAGAACCGCGAUGUCCUUAAUUGGGUGCCGCGAGGAACCAGGACCUUUACUUUGAAAAAAUUAGAGUGUUUAAAGCAGGCAUUUUGCUUGAAUACAUUAGCAUGGAAUAAUAAAAUAGGACGGAUGGUUCUAUUUUGUUGGUUUCUAGGAUCACCGUAAUGAUUAAUAGGGAUAGUUGGGGGCAUUAGUAUUCAAUUGUCAGAGGUGAAAUUCUUGGAUUUAUUGAAGACUAACUACUGCGAAAGCAUUUGCCAAGGAUGUUUUCAUUAAUCAAGAACGAAAGUUAGGGGAUCGAAGACGAUCAGAUACCGUCGUAGUCUUAACCAUAAACUAUGCCGACUAGGAAUCAGACGAUGUUAAUUUUUUAAUGACUCGUUUGGCACCUUACGGGAAACCAAAGUGUUUGGGUUC